rnacentral:rRNA from 1 species
UACACACCGCCCGUCACACCAUGGGAGUUGAUUGCACCAGAAGUAGGUAACCUAACCGCAAGGAGGGCGCUUACCACGGUGUGGUCAAUGACUGGGGUG